GUGACAUGUUGUCCUGUUUUCCAUCUCAGGAAUUCCCGCUCAUAUUGACACACAUUCCGCUUUUGAGGAUGAGAUCGUUUCUCUCAGUUUGGGGUCAGAGAUUGUCAUGGAUUUUAAGCACCCAGAUGGCAUUGCAGUGCCAGUUAUGUUGCCUCGUCGGAGUUUGCUGGUGAUGACAGGAGAAUCUAGAUACCUUUGGACCCAUGGAAUCACAUGCAGAAAAUUUGAUACUGUUCAAGCAUCUGAGAGUCUUAAAAGUGGAAUUAUCACCAGUGAUGUUGGAGACUUAACUUUAAGCAAGAGGGGACUACGAACAUCAUUUACAUUUAGGAAAGUGAGGCAAACACCUUGUAACUGUAGUAAGUAUAUACUCUUAUCUCUUCUGC
rnacentral:lncRNA from 1 species